rnacentral:rRNA from 1 species
UAGGGAAUAUUGGUAAUCUGGGCAACCGGGAACCAGCAACGCCGCGUGCGCGCUGAAGGCCUUCGGGUUGUAAAGCGCUUUUUGAGAGGAUGAGGACGGACAGUACUCUUAGAAUAAGCCACGGCUAACUACGUGCCAGCAGCCGCGGUAAAACGUAGGAGGCGAGCGUUCUCCGGAUUUACUGGGCGUAAAGCGUGUGUAGGCGGUUUGAUAAGUUGGAGGUGAAAGCUCCUGGCUUAACUGGGAGAGGUCGUUCAAAACUAUCAGACUUGAGAGUGGUAGAGGGAGGUGGAAUUCCGCAUGUAGUGGUGAAAUGCGUAGAUAUGCGGAGGAACACCAGUGGCGAAAGCGGCCUCCUGGCCCAUUUCUGACGCUCAGACACGAAAGCUAAGGUAGCAAACG